rnacentral:rRNA from 1 species
UACGUAGGGGGCAAGCGUUGUCCGGAUUUAUUGGGCGUAAAGAGCGUGUAGGCGGCCGUACAGGUCAGCUGUGAAAACUCGAGGCUCAACCUCGAGACGUCGGUUGAAACCGUACGGCUAGAGUCCGGAAGAGGAGAGUGGAAUUCCCGGUGUAGCGGUGAAAUGCGCAGAUAUCGGGAAGAACACCCGUGGCGAAGGCGGCCUGCUGGGCAGUUGCUGACACUGAGGCGCGACAGCGUGGGGAGCAAACAGG